ACCUACGGGGGGCAGCAGUGAGGAAUAUUGGUCAAUGGGCGAGAGCCUGAACCAGCCAAGUCGCGUGAAGGAUGACGGCCCUACGGGUUGUAAACUUCUUUUGUCAGGGAGCAAUUGGGUCCACGCGUGGGCUUAGCGAGAGUACCUGAAGAAAAAGCAUCGGCUAACUCCGUGCCAGCAGCCGCGGUAAUACGGAGGAUGCGAGCGUUAUCCGGAUUUAUUGGGUUUAAAGGGUGCGUAGGCGGUCGGAUAAGUUAGAGGUGAAAUCCCGAGGCUCAACUUCGGAAUUGCCUCUGAUACUGUUC
rnacentral:rRNA from 1 species